rnacentral:siRNA from 1 species
UAGGUUGCCUGUAUUACCACC